AAUUCCACAGAUGGACACUGCACUGUGAAGCUGAAAUGCUCGUCUCUGGAUGAAGGUGUGGACUUCUCCUGGGAGGUGAAGCAUCCACUGACCGACGCGUGGUCUUAUAAAAAGUCGGAGAUCCUCGUACCAUUUCUCAACAACACGGAAUUCACCUGCACCAGCAGCAGACCCGGGGAGAGGACUUCACGCACUGUCACUCUAAACUGUGUUGCAGGAAAUCCGCCUAUCAAGGUGAACUGCAAUUGCAGAUAUGGUGUUUGUACUUCCGUUGCACUGAUUGUGGGCUUCUGCACAGCAUUCGGGAUUCAAAGCAAAAAAUUCAAAAAAGCACUCAACUACCUUAAAGGUAUGUAUUCAUCGUGAUCAUCAUUCAUCACUUUCAGAUGGAAAUGUCGUUUGUUACACAAAAUAAUUUCUCCUUUUCCAUUUUGUUUUAGGCAAAUGUGUCCGAAAUGCAUUAGAGCAAGAUAACCCAGAGACAUCGAAUCCAGAAUGACGACACCAUGAACACCAUCUAUACUUUUUAUGAACAUUGCACGAAACACAAGAAAAUACACACACACACACACAU